AUGUAAAAACUAAUAGCACGCAAGUGUAAGGUUAAUUGGGUCAUGUAUGUAAACAGACAGUCACAAAACACACCCAUCUCCCUCCAAUUCUCUCACAUAAUACAACUGCCUCCUCUUCGACUACACCUUUCACUAUUCCUUCUACUCGACCUUCGACUUCAAAAUGACAUGGCAUCGAAGGCUGAAAAAAAUGCCGAUGUUUACAAACCUCGAGAAAGCCCCAAAUAUACAGAUGGUGAAUAUUUUACUAUAAAAAUGAUUCACGGUGGAGAGAUGCAGUAUGACCCGAAGAAAUAUGUAAAUGGCAAGGUUGAUUACUUUGACAAUUGUAAUGGAGAUGAAAUGAGUUUACUAGAAUUGAUUUCAAUGAUGAAAGAACUAGAAGAAUACGGAGGAUUUCAUACCUACUGGACCUUACAAAAUUGAAAAGGACAAAUGCAAAGGUUCAUUGCACAUACUGCAAAGCGGUUGGUCAUCAUCAGAGAAGUUGUGCUGCAAGGAAAUCUGAUGAGGCUACAAAUGCUGCAGCAGAAGGGAGAGAAAUCAAUGUUGGAAAGUCUAAGGUGAAGUGUAAGAAUUGCAAUCAAGAAGGCCACAAUUCAAGGACUUGUAAGGUGCAGAAAGCUCCAACAAACCGGUCUAGGUCAGAAACAUAUGAAAGAGAGUGCUUGGGAACAAAGUUGGUGGGGCAAAAAAGGCACCAUAAUCAAACUACUUUAAAGAACUAAACUAUCAGUUUUAAGAACUAAUUUUUAUUUUUAUUUUGUGAAGCUUCUGUUUGUGAGCUAGUACCUUUUUUGUUAGUGAAGUCAUAAAUUUACUGCAUGUUUUGGUACUAUUACUAGACAUGGAUAGUAUGAUCAUCAAAUGAAUGGAUCAAAUUACCCUGCCGUUAAUGCCGUCUACUUGGAAUGGACGGAGCCCUUUCAUUGCUUAAAAAUAUUAUUUACAGCCAUGCAUUUGGCCACUUUUACUUUUGAGCCACUAAAAUGAAAUAAUAAAAAGUUUCAGGUAUGAACAGUGCAAUUUAGUCU